rnacentral:rRNA from 1 species
GCGGCCUAUCAGCUUGUUGGCGGGGUAAUGGCCCACCAAGGCGACGACGGGUAGCUGGUCUGAGAGGAUGGCCAGCCACAUUGGGACUGAGAGACGGCCCAGACUCCUACGGGAGGCAGCAGUGGGGAAUCUUGCGCAAUGGCCGAAAGGCUGACGCAGCGACGCCGCGUGUGGGAGGACGCCUUUCGGGGUGUAAACCACUGUUGCCCGGGACGAACAGCCUCAUUCGUGAGGUCUGACGGUACCGGGUGAGGAAGCACCGGCUAACUCCGUGCCAGCAGCCGCGGUAAUACGGAGGGUGCGAGCGUUGUCCGGAAUCAUUGGGCGUAAAGGGCGCGUAGGUGGCGGGACAAGCGUGCGGUGAAAGCUCGGGGCUCAACCCCGCGUCGGCCGUGCGAACUGCUUUGCUUGAGCACUGUAGAGGCAGGUGGAAUUCCGGGUGUAGCGGUGGAAUGCGUAGAGAUCCGGAAGAACACCGGUGGCGAAGGCGGCCUGCUGGGCAGUGGCUGACACUGAGGCGCGACAGCGUGGGGAGCAAACAGGAUUAGAUACCCUGGUAGUCCACGCCGUAAACGAUGGGCACUAGGCGCUUGGGGGAGCGACCCUCCGAGGGCCGGCGCUAACGCAUUAAGUGCCCCGCCUGGGGAGUACGG